rnacentral:rRNA from 1 species
CAGCCGUAAACUAUGCUCGCUAGGUGUCAGGCAUGGCGCGACCGUGUCUGGUGCCGCAGGGAAGCCAUGAAGCGAGCCACCUGGGAAGUACGGCCGCAAGGCUGAAACUUAAAGGAAUUGGCGGGGGGAGCACAACAACGGGUGGAGCCUGCGGUUUAAUUGGACUCAACGCCGGACAACUCACCGGGGACGACAGCAAUAUGUAGGCCAGGCUGAAGACCUUGCCUGAAUCGCUGAGAGGAGGUGCAUGGCGUCAGUGACU